CUGAGUUAGCUCCAAGCUCAAGUUCAUAUUCAAGAAGCAGAUUUAAGAUGCUCAAUAUUAGC
rfam:Tarsius syrichta cont1.468197, whole genome shotgun sequence.